rnacentral:rRNA from 1 species
CCUACGGGAGGCAGCAGUGAGGAAUAUUGGUCAAUGGCCGAGAGGCUGAACCAGCCAAGUCGCGUGAGGGAAGACUGUCCUAUGGAUUGUAAACCUCUUUUGUCAGGGAGCAAAGUCACCCACGUGUGGGUGUUGGAAAGUAUCUGAAGAAAAAGCAUCGGCUAACUCCGUGCCAGCAGCCGCGGUAAUACGGAGGAUGCGAGCGUUAUCCGGAUUUAUUGGGUUUAAAGGGUGCGUAGGCGGGUGAUUAAGUCAGCGGUAAAAUCGGGGAGCUCAACUCCAUCCAGCCGUUGAAACUGAUGAUCUUGAGUGGGCGAGCAGAAGGCGGAAUGCGUGGUGUAGCGGUGAAAUGCAUAGAUAUCACGCAGAACCCCGAUUGCGAAGGCAGCCUUCCG